AAUCCGUGCCAACGGGAAAAUAAAUACCGUGGCCAAGAGAACAAAAUUAGUAUCAACGGAAAAACAUUCGGAAAAACAUUCCAUUUAAACGUCGUGUCAACGCCCGUGCCCACGAGUUUGAAAACCUUAGGGUACCGUCACAUUUAUCCUACAACUCAAACAGUGAACACCAGAGGGUUGUAUAUAACGGACGCUUUAGCCAUGAGUUCAGGGAUCUCGGCGAAACCACGUGGUAAUGACGGCGCGCGGUGCACCAUGGCCAUUACACUGACGACACAGUAGGGUGACCAGCUGAUGACGAAAGAGAUGAUUGACACCAUAAUCAUGCGUGUAAUUCGCACAUUUACUCGACGUCGGUUGUUGCGGAUAGAGGCGAAAGCGGUGGGUACAGGAUUGAAGCAGAGAAA